CCUACGGGUGGCUGCAGUGGGGAAUAUUGGACAAUGGGCGAAAGCCUGAUCCAGCCAUGCCGCGUGUGUGAAGAAGGCCUUCGGGUUGUAAAGCACUUUCAGGGGGGAAGAAAGCCUUGGGGCUAAUACCCUCGAGGAAGGACAUCACCCACAGAAGAAGCACCGGCUAACUCCGUGCCAGCAGCCGCGGUAAUACGGAGGGUGCGAGCGUUAAUCGGAAUUACUGGGCGUAAAGCGCGCGUAGGCGGUCUGAUAAGCCGGUUGUGAAAGCCCCGGGCUCAACCUGGGAACGGCAUCCGGAACUGUCCGGCUAGAGUGCAGGAGAGGAAGGUAGAAUUCCCGGUGUAGCGGUGAAAAGCGUAGAGAUCGGGAGGAAUACCAGUGGCGAAGGCGGCCUUCUGGACUGACACUGACGCUGAGGUGCGAAAGCGUGGGUAGCAAACAGGAUUAGAUACCCCGGUUGUC
rnacentral:rRNA from 1 species